GAUGAACGCUGGCGGCGUGCCUAAUACAUGCAAGUCGAGCGAACAGACGAGGAGCUUGCUCCUCUGACGUUAGCGGCGGACGGGUGAGUAACACGUGGAUAACCUACCUAUAAGACUGGGAUAACUUCGGGAAACCGGAGCUAAUACCGGAUAAUAUAUUGAACCGCAUGGUUCAAUAGUGAAAGACGGUUUUGCUGUCACUUAUAGAUGGAUCCGCGCCGCAUUAGCUAGUUGGUAAGGUAACGGCUUACAAAGGCAACGAUGCGUAGCCGACCUGAGAGGGUGAUCGGCCACACUGGAACUGAGACACGGUCAAGACUCCUACGGGAGGAAGAAGUAGGGAAUCUUCCGCAAUGGGCGAAAGCCUGACGGAGAAACGCCGCGUGAGUGAUGAAGGUCUUCGGAUCGUAAAACUCUGUUAUUAGGGAAGAACAAAUGUGUAAGUAACUAUGCACGUCUUGACGGUACCUAAUCAGAAAGCCACGGCUAACUACGUG
rnacentral:rRNA from 1 species